rnacentral:rRNA from 1 species
AACCGUGAUUCCGGGAGUAGUGGCGAGCGAAACUGGAUGAGGCUAAACCGUAUGUGUGUGAUACCCGGCAGGGGUUGCGCGUACGGGGUUGUGGGAGUGAACUUCAGUCGUCUGCCGGCGGCUGGGUGAGUCAGAAACCAUUGCGGUAGGCGAAGGACAUGCGAAAGGUCCGGCGUAGAGGGUAAGACCCCCGUAGCUGAAAUCGUAGUGGCUUGCUUGUUCAUUUCCCAAGUAGCACGGGGCCCGAGAAAUCCCGUGUGAAUCUGGCGGGACCACCCGCUAAGCCUAAAUAUUCCCUGGUGACCGAUAGCGGAUAGUACC